GCCUGCUUAGCUCAGUGGUUAGAGCACCGAUAUGCAAUCAAGCAAGAGGUCUUCUCUAAUUCGGAGACACGGGUUCGAAUCCCGUAGCAGGCA